rnacentral:lncRNA from 10 species
CAUUUGGUUGUCAUGGCUCUUUAGUAACCUACUCUGAAUUUGUCUGAUGGUUUCCUCAUGAUCAGAUUCUUCGGAGAAGAACUCUACAAAGGAAAGACUGCAUUGUAGUUCUUUGGACAAUUCCUGGAGAAAUCAUGAGAUAUGACUCUCUCACUUGUAGAAUCACAGCAAAGGCUCCGUCCUACUGGACAUUGAUGGAACAAAGGCAAACAAAACCAAAACAAAACAGCCAAACUGAUGCUGGGAAAGAGAUGGAUGUGUCACCAUUGCUGAGGAUAAAUACCGU